rnacentral:rRNA from 1 species
GACGAACGCUGGCGGCGUGCUUAACACAUGCAAGUCGAGCGGUAAGGCCUUUCGGGGUACACGAGCGGCGAACGGGUGAGUAACACGUGGGUGAUCUGCCCUGCACUUCGGGAUAAGCCUGGGAAACUGGGUCUAAUACCGGAUAUGACCUCCUAUCGCAUGGUGGGUGGUGGAAAGAUUUAUCGGUGCAGGAUGGGCCCGCGGCCUAUCAGCUUGUUGGUGGGGUAAUGGCCUACCAAGGCGACGACGGGUAGCCGACCUGAGAGGGUGACCGGCCACACUGGGACUGAGACACGGCCCAGACUGCUACGGGAGGCAGCAGUGGGGAGUAUUGCACAAUGGGCGAAAGCCUGAUGCAGCGACGCCGGGUGAGGGAUGACGGCCUUCGGGUUGUAAACCUCUUUCAGCUGGGACGAAGCGCAAGUGACGGUACCUGCAGAAGAAGCACCGGCUAACUACGUG